rnacentral:tRNA from 1 species
ACUGGUGUAGCUCAGUUGGUUAGAGUGUGUGGCUUUUAAACCACAAGGUCGAAGGUUCAAGCCCUUCCACUAGCA